rnacentral:lncRNA from 1 species
AGGAUAUAAAUAAUGCUGAAGCAGAGUUACGUUUUUUUUGUUGUUGUUUUUUUUGUUUUUGUUUUUUUAGGUUUCCGUGUGUUUCUAUUGAGCUGCUCAGUGCCCGGCUUAGAAGACCAGGAAAAGGAGUCACAGGUCGUAUGCUGGAGGCUUGAGCCGCGGCACCGUGGCGCGGCUCGCCUCGCUGCGGUUGGUGGUGGCGGUGGACAUUGCAGCGCGGCUGGAGGGGUAGGAAGAAGAAGAUAGUUUUGGGAUAGAUAGAGGUGAGAUAUUCCUGCACAUCCUCUGGUGACCCCAGAAUGAGGGGGACUCGCUGGUGAAUUGCCUCGGGCUUCACGUCCAGUACAGGCUGGGUCCCCGUGGUCGCCAAGCCUCCUGCCUGCUCAAUGAUGUAGGCCACGGGAUUGCAUUCAUACAGGAGCCGGAGCUGUGGAGGAACAGAGGCAGGUUCCUUGGGAUUUUCUACAUAGACCAUCAUGUCGUCUGCAAGAACAGUGUUAUUACCUGCUUUCCAAUCUGUAUGUGUUUCAUCAUCUUCCUUGCCUUAUUGUGCUGGCUACAACUUUCAGGAUUACAUAUGUUGGGUAACAGUGGCGAGUGAGGACAUCCUUGCUUUGUUACUGAUCUUAGAGUAUAAGCAUUCAGUCUUUCACCAUUAAAUGUAAUGCUAGCUGUAGAUGUACUUGAUAGAGUUAAGGGACGCUCCUCCUCUAUUUCUUGUUUUCUAAGACUUUCUGUUUUUUCAGAGACAGGGUCUUGCUCUGUUGCCCAGGGUGGAGUGCAGUGGCUUGGUCAUGGCUCACUGCAGCCUCCAACUCCUGGGCUUAAGUCAUCCUCCCAUCUCAACUUCUUGAGUAGCUGGGACUACGGGUAUGCACUACCACCCCCCUCUCCAGCUAAUGUCUUUUUUGAGAUGGGGGUCUUGCUAUGUUGCCCAGGCUGGUCUCAAACUCCUGGCCUCAAGCAAUCCUCCUACCUCAGCAAGUUUCUUUUUUAAAUAAUGAAUGAGUGUUGAAUUUGUUCAAAUGUUUUUUCUCCAUCAAUAGAUACGAUUAUGUGAUUUUUCUUCUUUAGCCUGUUGAUAUGGUGGAUUACACUGACUGAUUAUGAAUACUGGAUCAGUCUUCCAUCACCAGAAUAAACCCCACUCAGCCAUGGUGUAUAAUUUAUUUUAUGUAUUGUUGAAUUCUAUUUGCCAAUAUUUUGUUAAGAGUUUUUGCAUUUAUUGAUAAGGAAUAUUGGUCUGUGGUAUUUUUUUGAACAAUCUUUGUCUGGUUUUUGUAUCAGGAUAACACUGGUUUCAUAAAAUGAAUUGGGAAGUGUUCCUUCCUAUUAUCUUUUCUGGAAGAGACUGAAUAAUCUGUGAAUAUUUGUUAUGUUUUUCCAGUAAACCAUCUGAGCCUGGAGAUUUCUUUUCUUGGGCAUGAGUUUCUUAAUAGUAUUGAGCCCUGUAGAUAGCCAUUCAAAGUAUCUAUUUUAUAUUGGGUGAGUUAGAGUAUUGUAGUUUUUGAGACAUUGGUUCGUUUCAUCUAAGUUGUCAAAUGUAUGCAUGUGGAGUUGUUUCUAAUAUUCUCUUUUUAUCCUUUUGAAAAACAAGGCAACCUGAGAUUAACAAUCUACUGCAUAAAUACACAAUUCUCUGAUCAUUUUCCCAAGAUAAAUUCCCAAUAAUUAAAUAAUUGGGUAAAAAUCUUUUGAUACAUAUUGAAAAAUUGUCCUCCAGAAAGAGUGCAUCAAUUUAUACUUUUACCACUAAUAAUAAGAGAGUUCAUUUUAAUUCAGCCUGGUAAACACAAGAUAGCAUUGUCUUUUCAACUUUGUCAAUUUGACAGGUGGACAAAAUGACAUCUCUUUUGUUUUAACUUCUAUUUUUUAUGAGUCAGGUAAAACCUUUUAUAUGUUUAUUUUGACCAUUUUUAUUUUGUAAGUUGUCUCUUUCAUGUCUUGCUUAUUUUUCUAUCAGGAUAUUCAACUUCUUGUUUAUUUUAAUAGCUCUUUAUAUAUAAAGGAUAUUAAUGUCUUGUAUAUGUCACAAAUAUUUUCCUCGAUUGUCAUUGCCUUCUUAUUUAUGGUGCCUGUUUUUGCAGUGCAGUUUUAAAAUUAAAAUUAUUCAUGACAUUCCA